CUUGUUGAUGGAAUUCCUCUUGUGUAUAGUAGCAAGGUGGUGCAUAAAUAAGCUGUUGGAAUUGCCCUUGUGGAUGAUAGCAAGGUGGGUCACACCAAAUAUUUUCAAAAUUCUCUUGUGGAUAGCAUUGAGGUGACUCAAACUGUUGUUGAUGGUUCUUGAGCAACAUUUGUGUAUCAGAAAAUAGUAGCUCGUUGAGUCUGGCUUCUAGCUUAUCAUGUUUAGCUUCCAUCGCUGCAAAAAAACUUGACAAACUAACACUUGUGUUUCGUUACUUUCAAAAAUUAAUUCCACUAGAAACAAAGAUAAUAAAAAAAACAAAAGGAUAGGGAAAAACAACGUUAGUGGAAAAAGAAAAGAAAAUAAAAUAAAAAUAAAGUUAGUAACGAGAUUAUAUAAAAGAAAUAAAAGGAAAAAGAUAGAAAACGAGAAAAAAAAAUAUUAGUUAGCAACUAACGGAAAAAGAGGAAAAAAAAAAACAUUACAAAAAAAGUAAGGAAAAUCUAAACGAGAUCUGAAAAAAAAAAUGUUAGAAACAAAAGAAAAAAAAAGCAAUCUAGUAAUAAUAAUAAGAAGAAUAAUAAAGGGAAAGAAGAUAGAUAAGAUAGCACAAUAAAAUAAAAGAGAGAAAAGGUAGAGAAAAAAAAAAAUAGUGAUCUAAAAAUAGAAGAUAGGCAAAAGAAUUAAAAGAACUAAACUGAUGGGCCAAGGGUUCGGGCUUGAAAAGAAUAUUGAAACCCUAGCCCACUUUGCAUGGGGUUUAGUCUAGAGGGGGGAAAACCCUGUUCUUUCACAAUCAGAACAGAACCUGCACAAACUCACGUAAGAACAGAAAGGGAAGCAUACAGAAGAGAGAAAAGAGAGAACUCGAGAGAGAGCAAGAGAAGCCGCCGCCGCCCAAGCGAUAACCAUCAUCGUGUAGCGCGCGCAAGGGAGUGGAGGAGGUCGCGCGCGAGGGAGAGAAGAGGGACGGCGAGAGAAGCUGAGAACGUGGACAGCAACGUUUCUGAACCGUGUUCAUCACCAAAGCUUCUUCUUUUCAGACCAAGAACCCAAGAUGGUCGUGAAGAUAAUGGCGAUGACUCAUUCUUGGGAGUUGAUGCUACGUGACGUGCCAAUACCGGAGGACGACUACACUUCAGAGGAAGAGGAAGAGGCUAAGGAAUAGGGUUUGGGUUGAGAGUCUUUUGUUUUCUGUUGGGGUUGAGAGUUUCCGAAGUGUUGGUAUCGAACAAUUUUAUUGCUUAAAUUCGAAUGAACAAGUUUUGAUGUAAUCUUUAUUUUCAUUCAGGCCUUUGAUUCGUACUCUUUACAGUUGGUUAUUUAAAAAGUUUUACGAUGUUGGUUA